UUUUUUUUUUUUUCUUUAAAAUAAAACAUGCUCAAACACAAAACUCUCCUUCUGAGUGUCCAUAAAGAAAAUGCCUCGGAGUUCCCAUCAUGGAUCAGUGGUUAACGAAUCCGACUGGGAACCAUGAGGCUGUGGGUUCGAUCCCUGGCCUUGCUUAGUGGAUUGGGGAUCCGGCGUUGCCAUGAGCUGUGGUGUAGGGUUGCAGAUGCAGCUCGGAUCCCGAGUUGCUGUGGCUGUGUGUCACGGCUCAGGCUGGUGGCUACGGCUCUGAUUAGACCCCUAGCAUGGGACCCUCCAUAUGCCAUGGGUGCAGCCAAAAAAAAAAAAAAAAAAAAAAAAAAAAAAAAGUCUCAUUGUGUUAUAUUACACUGUGCAAAUGAAAUUCAACUUGAGGGAAAGCACCAUUGACUCAUUAGAUAUAUUUUGCAUCACUGCAGUGUAUGGUCUUCCCUAUGUGUGUGGGAGAAGUUUCUCAUCUUCUAAAUGGGCAUGUUUACCAUUGGUGCUCUAUCUUUUUUUUUCGGUCAAAGCCUUUCCUCUUAGUUUUCUUAUGUUUGUGUCUUUAUAGAGAUAGUAAUGUGUAUUCUUUAUUAUAUGUGUGUGUGUAGUUUACUGACAAUGUUGUGUUCGUUUUUGGUGUACAACAAAGUGAAUCAGUUAUGCAUAUACACACAUCCAUUCUUUUGCUUAUUCUUUUCCCAUAUAGGUUAUUGCAGAAUAUCGAGUAGAGUUCCCUGUGCUAUACAUAAGCCCUUGUUGAUUAUCUUUGUGUGUUCUUGUUUGUUUGUGUGUUUGUUUGCUUUUUAGGGCCGCACCUGCGGCAUAUGGAGGUUCCCAGGCUAGGGGUCCAAUUGGAGCUGUAGCUGCCAGUCUACACCACAGCCACAGCAAUGCGUGAGCCAAGCCACAUCUCUGACCUACACCACAGCUCAUGGCAACGCCAGACCCUUAACCCACUGAGUGAGGCCAGGGAUCAAUCCCACAUCCUCACGGAUCCUAGUAGGGUUCGUUAACUGCUGAGCCACGGAGGGAACUCCAUCUUUUUGUGUUCUUAAGAUGCCAUGAAAAAAUGUGUAGACUAACAGCCCAUUUUGUGAAGACGCACCUUGCCUUUCUGAGUCCUCCAUACCCAUCCCUUACUACUUGCAGCACAACCACUGGAUGCAUCGUGUGUUUGACCCAGGAGCCUGGGGAAGGAUGCCCUACUUGGUACAUUUCAUAUUUUUUUUGGUACGAGGCUUUUUUCAGUUUGCGGCAUCUUUAUUUCAUUGUCAGAGUGGCUGCUCUCUUAAGUAUUCAAAGUUUUAAUUUCAUUCAGUGUGUGGGCUCAAUAGGGAGGUUUCCUGUAGAAGCAGUUCUACUAAAUUAGAGAAGGAGAAAAAAAGCUUCCAGCAAGUAUCGCACAGACAUGCUUUGCUGGGUGAGACUGGCAAUGUUCAAAUGGGAGAUAACGGAGCGCAAAGCAGGAUUCCCCUGAGCUUAACUGGGUAGGGAGGCUGGGAGAGAAGGGCAAUGUCUAAUUUGUUAGGAGAAAAUUCAUAUUUGCAUAAUACCAAGGCAUUUAAAUGUUUUCUUUGGAAUCGAUAUAUACAGAUUUUAAGUAGGUAUAUAGGUAAGAGAUUUGCAAAAGCAAUUCUGUUAAGGUUGAGGUUCUGGAGUUGGCAGUUCUUACAACCCCGAAGAUCCUGCUCUCUGAAGCCAGGAAAAAGCGGUCUGUUUCCAAUUAUAAAUCACAAAAAUUGGGAAAUUAGGCCAAGGAAAAUGAUUAUUUGGGGGUUGGGUUGCUUUUUUUGCAGAGGGUAAAGGAGAGCGGAUCAUAGACGCACAUCUAAAAAAAUCUGCUAGUUACUCUGUUGGCUUUCACAUUUUUUUCAAGUGUUCUAGUUUGGAAAUGAAGACUCAUUUUAGGAUUAGAGACUCUUGGUCCUUCAGCUCCUUUGGUUUCUCAGUGAGCAGCUAGAGGAGCAGUGAGGCAGCUUCCACUGACGCUAAGGGGCUUGGUGCCAGUCUUUUGGGACAUGGCUGGUGUGACUGGUAAACCUUUUCCUAUCAGAAGGGUGCCAGGUUCUGGACUCCCAGCAUCAUCCUAGGUAGUUGGUGCUGUUUUUGUUUGUUUGCUAUGCUCUUUCCCAUGCUCGCAAUGGAAAUGCAGCCCCCGUGGCUUCCUAUUGUUCUGGGGGAGAAAGACACCGCAGGCUAGUGUGGGAAGAACUGGAGGCGAGAAGCCUAAGGAUGAUGUGUGGGCGAAGGCCUUGUCCUCGCACUUGUCGGAAGCAGCUAGCCCUUCUGAAAUAAAGCUGCUGCUAGUUUCAGGAUUAGUGGUCCCCCGAGACCCAGGUGUUCACUGCGACUCUCCUUUCUACCCCCUGAGAUCACCCCCAGCAGAUGCUCCUGUUUCUCACACCUGACACCUCCAGAGCGUUGAAUAAGACUUUCCUGGUGGCGCCCAGCCUUUGAGAACAACCAAGGCCGCCGGCGCUGACGGCGGUUAGCUGCUGGCUCUUUCCUUUUCACCGCGGGUUCGGGCCUCCACCUGCAGCCGCGGGGCUCCCACGCCCCCCCCGCCCCGCCCCCCCCUCCCUGCCCCCCACGCUCGGCUAGAAAAGGUGCGAAGUGCCAAACUGCGCGCCCGUUUUCAAUCGGGCAUCUUCACCGUCCGCUUGUCCCCUCGCAGGUGCCUCUGCCACUCCCCCUCCCUCCCCCUCCCCCUCCUUAUUUGUUUCCUGGAACUGCUGCUCCUGGUUUGCCCCUUUUCCAGCCCCAUCUCUCGGUCUCCAGGGCUCCUCCCACCCUUCCCCUUCUCGCCUCCCCAUCCCCCUUCAUUGGGUCCAGGCCUCCGUGGCCACGCCCACUAUGCUACUUUCUUUCUUUUUUCUUUUUGCCUUUUUUAGGGCCGCACCUGCGGCAUGUGGAAGUUCCCAGGCUAGGGGGGCACAUCGAGCUGCAGCUGCCGGCCUACACCACAGCCACAUCCAAGCUGCCUCCAAGACCUACACCACAGCUCAGGGCAAGCCAGACCCGUAACCUGCUGAGCAGAUGGAACCCGCGAUCUCAUGGGUACUUGUCGGGGUCUUCAUCCCCUGAGCCACAGGGGAACUCCCCUGUUUUCUACUUUCUACCCUUAUUUCCAGCGGCCACUUGGCUAUUCUACAGGUGUUUCUGUUAAAACGAAGUCUCAAACCCAACAUACUAUUUCUCUGUGGUCCCCAGUCUCAACUCCUUUAUUUCCCAUGUCAGUAAAUGGCACCAGUUACCAAGCUAGUAGCCUCAGGCGCACUUCACUGCCUUCUGCAUACCUCCCCCAGGAGUCACCCGUUCCUGGAUGUCUGAACUUCAGCAGGUGUCAGCUGGCAUUUUUUCCCCUUGGGUUCCAGGAAACCUUAUGGACACGGAAGUUAGAACUUCGUAUAAGUUUCACAGAUGACAUAUUACUCCUUUGACUUUCCUCCAUCAUUUUGACACGUAAACACCAGUCUUAGGAAUCUGCACACUAGGCCUGUAAGUCACAUCCUACAAUUGGCGUUUUCUUCUCCUUUUCCAAAUCACCAUCCCACCAGGGCUAUCACAGGCAUUUGCCAGUUGGUUUUCCCGGCGUUGGCAUCUCCAUCUCUCUCUUUCUUUUUUUAAUUUUGUCUUUUUAGGGCCAGGCUAGGGGUUGAAUCAGAGCUGUAGCUGUCGGCCUACACAUAGCUACAGCGACGCCAGAUCCGAGUCGCCUCUGUGACCUACGCCACAGCUCACGGCAACGCCGGAUCCUUACCCCCCUGAGCAAGGCAUCCUCGUGGAUACUAGUCAGAUUCGUUUCUGCUCAGCCACGGUGGGAACCCCAGCAUCUCCAUCUCAAAUUGUUCAUCCAUUAAGAUUGGGACCUUCGAAAACACAGACCUGUGUUUCUUUCGUUAACGCUUGGGGGAGGAGUUCUCGUGCUGCAGCAGGUUAAGGAUCCAGCGUUGUCCCUGCAGUGGCUUGGGUCACUGCUGUGGGCGCAGGUUCGAUCCCAGGCCCCAGAACUUGGUGGUAAGAUUGCGUUUACAAUUGAUGCAAAUUCUAACUGUAGAAGAGAUAAAGAAAAUUGACUCAGAAUCAUAGAGUUUGGGGUUAGAUGGGGGCUUUGGAAAGCUUCUCUUCAGGUCCCUCUAAAGAUGAGGACAAUCAGAUGCAGAGAGUGCAGGUGGCCCGCCCGCGCUGGGGAGCAGGGCCUUCCUCUGCCGCGUUCUCCGCCCAGCAGCCAGAAGGGCCCUGAUAGAACCUAAGUCUAUCAUUCCUCUGAUGAAAACACUCGACUUGAUCCUGUCUUUCUCGGAGUAAAAACCCCAAUCUUUGUAAUAAGCCCUAAAGCCCUACGCAACCAGCCCUGCCUCCCUGGCCUGGGACCGCCUUGGUCUCACCCUCUGCUCUCUGGCUUGUUCCCUUUUCCAGAGGCUUCACCUGCUUUGCCUUCCCUGGACGCUCAGUCUCAGGGUCUGUGCAGGUGCAGUUUUCUUUGUUGGGUGGGUUUUUCUCCCAGAUAUCUAGCCUUCAGUUCCUGUAGGUCCUUACUCAGAACAAACAAAAACAAACAAACGAACAAAACGAACCAAAGACCCCCCCCCCAAGUACUUCCUUUCUGUCUUCUCUGCUUUGUUUCCUUAGCAUUUAUCUCUGCCUCAUACGUUCGUAUAUAUUUUGUUUACAGUCUCUCGCCCCUGGCUAGGAUGUACGCGCCACAGAGGCAGGAAUUUUUACAUGUUUUAUUCCCUCCGGAGCCCCCAUGCCUAAACAGGCCCUGGCACUGCCUGAGCCAUCA
ensembl:lncRNA